rnacentral:misc_RNA from 1 species
UUUCCGUAGGCGAACCUGCGGAAGGAUCAUUAUUGGAUUUUGAAACUUCAGGCUGCUGCUGGCUCUCCUCGGAGGGCAUGUGCACGCUUGUUGUCCAUUAUUUCUCCCACUGUGCACAAAUUGUAGACCUUUCAGUAGGCCUAUGUUGUUUUUCACAAUCUCUGAAUGUAAUAGAAUGGUUUUGAAUCUUGGGAAAUACAAUACAACUCUCAGCAACGGAUCUCUUGGCUCUCGCAUCGAUGACGAACGCAGC